CUAAAUUGAAUUUGAUUUUUUAUUUUUUAAAAUUUAAUUAUAAAACUCUAACAUUCUUAUAUUACAAAUAAGGAUAAAUAAUUAAAUAAAGAAAAAGUAAAGGUAAAGGUAAAGGUAAAAAAUCUUGAUAUUUUCCUCAUCGAUAUCUUGAUCUUUCUCUUCUUAUAUCUUCUCCUUCCGAUAUGUAACUAAGAGUUAACUCCUUCAUUUCUUGAUCUUUCCAUCUCGAUAUCUUAAUCUACCCUUACCGAUAUGCAGUCAAGAAUCGAUUCUUUCAUUUUUUGUUCUUUUCAUCUCAAGAAUUGACUCCUUUAUAUCUCGAUCUUUUCUUUUAUUUUCAUCUUUUCAUUUACAUCUUAGUUAUAUUUUUCAUAUCUAAUCUGUUUUUAAGAUAUGGAACUUAUAUUUUUCAAUUCAUAAAAAAAUCUUGAUUUUUGUAAAUUUGAUUCGACCGUGAAUGAAAGAAAAAUCAGGUAAAGAAUUUAUAAUUUUUUGAUUUAUUUAUUUAUUUUAUUUCGAUUAAUUCAUUUUUAUUCAAUAAUAUAUAAUUUUUAUAUAUUAUUCUAAAUGGUUUUUGAAGAAAAAAAUCCAAAAAGAAGAUGAAUUAUUAAAGCUACUAGACCCAAGUCAUCAUAAAUUUCAAUUAUCAGGUCCAUUCGUAGUGCUGCUAGCGUUCGUUUUCUCGUGUCGGAGGUUCUAGGAUUACGACGCGCAUUACAUCAAGUCUUCAGGGGAGAAAAUCGACGAUUUGAGUAUCAAAUCGCCGAUUUCUCCGCAAAUGUCGAACCGGAAGUGUGUGAAACCGAUGCCUUUGGAUAAGCUCGGGAUCCCUUUUUAUAAGACCUCUGGAGACGUAAUCCGCGACGGAGAUCGCGCUUGGUCAUAAUGACAAUGGCUCAAGCUAAACCCGCGAGUAACGGUCUAAAUCGACAAUUUGGGGAUAUAAUCGGCGAGUUUAAAAGGGAAGAUUGGCAGUCUGUCAGACUCUGACGAUCUUCUCGUUCAAAAGGAAAGAUUGACAGUCUGUCAGACUCUGACGAUCUUCUCCUCAACUCGACGAUUUUCCACCCCAAUUGGCGAUUUGGCAGACCCGGGUCUCGACGAAGACUUUUAGUUCCGCUUCCGUGGGAGCCUUCCGAGGGUCCGACAUAAAGUAAACGGAACCCUAGUUCAUGUUGACGAAAAGGGUUGGUGUACAGUUCUGUGCCAACACUCAUACAAACAAGGUGUAAUUG
rnacentral:lncRNA from 1 species